UAGGGAAUCUUCCACAAUGGACGCAAGUCUGAUGGAGCAACGCCGCGUGAGUGAAGAAGGUUUUCGGAUCGUAAAGCUCUGGUGUUGGUGAAGAAGGAUAGAGGUAGUAACUGGCCUUUAUUUGACGGUAAUCAACCAGAAAGUCACGGCUAACUACGUGCCAGCAGCCGCGGUAAUACGUAGGUGGCAAGCGUUGUCCGGAUUUAUUGGGCGUAAAGCGAGCGCAGGCGGAAGAAUAAGUCUGAUGUGAAAGCCCUCGGCUUAACCGAGGAACUGCAUCGGAAACUGUUUUUCUUGAGUGCAGAAGAGGAGAGUGGAAUUUCAUGUGUAGCGGUGGAAUGCGUAGAUAUAUGGAAGAACACCAGUGGCGAAGGCGACUCUCUGGUCUGCAACUGACGCUGAGGCUCGAAAGCAUGGGUAGCGAACAGG
rnacentral:rRNA from 1 species